rnacentral:lncRNA from 1 species
UCAAUUUCAACAAAACAGAGUACAAAGGAAAUAACAGGAAGAAAGAGUCCUACGAUGACUCAAGGCUCGGAAGCUCACGAUCCGGCUCUGCUGCGGAGCUCAGUCACCUACUGCUGGGGGGCGCAAAACAGAAAAUUGUGAGUGGACAAAAAUAAAUUCAGUUCGGUGCAAACCAACGUAAUAUAACCCCACCGUUUAGAAAACCAUGCAAGAAAUACCAUGCAUCUCAAAACCGUCAUACACAAGUAUAUAUAUAUAUAUAUAUAUAUCAAAACAAAUCAAUACCAAAUGCCAAGUCCAAAAUUCAUAAAGAACACUUUACAAAACCCACCAUCCAAAAACUUAUAAAUCCCGCAACCAAUCUCUCGAAAGCGUACCCAUUGGCACGACCGGCAAGGAAGUAUCCACACCGAGAAACAAGAAUGAAUGAAUAGAUAUAUAAUUAUAUAAUAUAAGAGAUAUAUAUAUAAUAUAAUUAUAACCAUCACCUAGUUGUACCGGGGAAACAAUCCAACCGGGGGAUUGUUUGACUAGUCACCCUGGCAGAGUCCUCAUGAUGAGUCCUCAAUCCACCAUGUGACUAGGGAACGAGCCGUCCAACUGGGGGACCAACUCUCAGCCAGAACGUACCGUCGAUAACCUCAAAACCCGUACGUCUGUGAACAGUCCUACGCGCGCAGACUACCCAAUUAAGGGUCUACAGCAACAUCCCGUCAAGGAUGCCCCGGGUCCCGACAAUUCCAAGUAUCUCAAGUCUCCGUAUCCAAGUUCCACAUCUGGGGAGGUACAUAGGGUAGUGCUUACAACACACCAAACUGACAUUCUAUACUCACCACUUUC